UUGGUUUUCUAGUAUGAUGUUUGCUGAUUUUACAUCUCUUGUUUAUACACAUGUGUAUCCUCGGAAUGUAAAAUCCACAGACAUCAUUCUAAAUAAUCAA